rnacentral:rRNA from 1 species
UUACACAUGCCAGCCUCCACACCCCAGUGCUUCCCACCCUGACCAACCAGGCCCCAACUAAGAUAUCAGGCACGCCCAUUGCAGCCCACAACAUCUUGCCACGCCACACCUCCACAGGACCCAGCAGUGAUAGACCUUAGGCCAUGAGCUCCUACCACGCUCGACCUAGUUAUGGCCCACAGGGCCGGUAAAUUUCGUGCCAGCCACCGCGGUUAUACGAAAAACCCAACAUAGGUUACUAACGGCGUAAAUCGUGCUUAGAGCCUGGCCCACAAAGAGAUUGGAAUACAUGCAUGGCUAUAAAAUGCACCCCGCCCACUAGACCCCCAUCAAUCUCCUCCCUCCCGCACCCUUGACCUCACGAAAGCUCAGAUACAAACUAGGAUUAGAUACCCUACUAUGCUUUGCCAUAAAAUUUGGCUCGUCCCCUACAACCAGCCCGCCAGAAAACUACAGCCGAAAAGCCUGAAACUCCAAGGACUUGACGGUGUCCCAACAACCUAGAGGAGCCUGUCCUAUAAUCGAUACCCCACGUUACACCUCACCCUCCCUUGCCCACCGCCUAUAUACCGCCGUCGUAACGCCCGCCCCAUGAGCGAACCCACGCGGACAAAACAGUCUACCACGAACACGUCAGGUCAAGGUGUAGCCUAUGAGAGGGCAUGAGAUGGGCUACAGUCUCUAAAAUAGAGCCCUACAAGCACUAUGAAAACCCGCCCAAAAGCCGGAUUUAGCAGUAAACCAGACAAGCCAUGUCAUCUUGAACCCCCCGCUCUGGGACACGUACACACCGCCCGUCACCCUCAGC